rnacentral:rRNA from 1 species
UACGUAGGGGGCUAGCGUUGUCCGGAAUCAUUGGGCGUAAAGAGCGUGUAGGCGGCUCGGUAAGUCCGCUGUGAAAGUCCAGGGCUCAACCCUGGAAUGCCAGUGGAAACUGUCGAGCUAGAGUACGGAAGAGGCGAGUGGAAUUCCUGGUGUAGCGGUGGAAUGCGCAGAUAUCAGGAGGAACACCAAUAGCGAAGGCAGCUCGCUGGGACGUUACUGACACUGAGGCGCGAAAGCGUGGGGAGCGAACAGG